rnacentral:rRNA from 1 species
AUUGAACGCUGGCGGCAGGCCUAACACAUGCAAGUCGAGCGAGCGGCGCACGGGUGAGUAAUGUCCGGGAAACUGCUUGAUGGAGGGGGAUAACUACUGGAAACGGUAGCUAAUACUGCAUACUAUCAGAUGUGCCCAGGUGGCAAUAGCUAGUGGGUGGGGUAACGGCUCACCUAGGCGACGAUCCCUAGCUGGUCUGAGAGGAGGACCAGCCAAACUGGGACUGAGAAACGGUCCAGACUCCUACGGGAGGCAGCAGUGGGGAAUAUUGGGCAAUGGGCGCAAGCCUGAUGCAGCCAUGCCGCGUGUGUGAAGAAGGCCUUCGGGUUGUAAAGCACUUUCAGCGGGGAGGCGUUACCCGCAGAAGAAGCACCGGCUAACUCCGUGCCAGCAGCCGCGGUAAUUC